rnacentral:rRNA from 4 species
UUAAGCGACUAAGCGUACACGGUGGAUGCCCUGGCAGUCAGAGGCGAUGAAGGACGUGCUAAUCUGCGAUAAGCGUCGGUGAGGUGAUAUGAACCGUUAUAACCGGCGAUUUCCGAAUGGGGAAACCCAGUGUGUUUCGACACACUAUCAUUAACUGAAUCCAUAGGUUAAUGAGGCGAACCGGGGGAACUGAAACAUCUAAGUACCCCGAGGAAAAGAAAUCAACCGAGAUUCCCCCAGUAGCGGCGAGCGAACGGGGAGGAGCCCAGAGCCUGAAUCAGUGUGUGUGUUAGUGGAAGCGUCUGGAAAGGCGCGCGAUACAGGGUGACAGCCCCGUACACAAAAAUGCACAUAUUGUGAGCUCGAUGAGUAGGGCGGGACACGUGGUAUCCUGUCUGAAUAUGGGGGGACCAUCCUCCAAGGCUAAAUACUCCUGACUGACCGAUAGUGAACCAGUACCGUGAGGGAAAGGCGAAAAGAACCCCGGCGAGGGGAGUGAAAAAGAACCUGAAACCGUGUACGUACAAGCAGUGGGAGCCUCUUAAUGGGGUGACUGCGUACCUUUUGUAUAAUGGGUCAGCGACUUAUAUUCUGUAGCAAGGUUAACCGAAUAGGGGAGCCGAAGGGAAACCGAGUCUUAACUGGGCGUUAAGUUGCAGGGUAUAGACCCGAAACCCGGUGAUCUAGCCAUGGGCAGGUUGAAGGUUGGGUAACACUAACUGGAGGACCGAACCGACUAAUGUUGAAAAAUUAGCGGAUGACUUGUGGCUGGGGGUGAAAGGCCAAUCAAACCGGGAGAUAGCUGGUUCUCCCCGAAAGCUAUUUAGGUAGCGCCUCGUGAAUUCAUCUCCGGGGGUAGAGCACUGUUUCGGCAAGGGGGUCAUCCCGACUUACCAACCCGAUGCAAACUGCGAAUACCGGAGAAUGUUAUCACGGGAGACACACGGCGGGUGCUAACGUCCGUCGUGAAGAGGGAAACAACCCAGACCGCCAGCUAAGGUCCCAAAGUCAUGGUUAAGUGGGAAACGAUGUGGGAAGGCCCAGACAGCCAGGAUGUUGGCUUAGAAGCAGCCAUCAUUUAAAGAAAGCGUAAUAGCUCACUGGUCGAGUCGGCCUGCGCGGAAGAUGUAACGGGGCUAAACCAUGCACCGAAGCUGCGGCAGCGACACUAUGUGUUGUUGGGUAGGGGAGCGUUCUGUAAGCCUGUGAAGGUGUACUGUGAGGUAUGCUGGAGGUAUCAGAAGUGCGAAUGCUGACAUAAGUAACGAUAAAGCGGGUGAAAAGCCCGCUCGCCGGAAGACCAAGGGUUCCUGUCCAACGUUAAUCGGGGCAGGGUGAGUCGACCCCUAAGGCGAGGCCGAAAGGCGUAGUCGAUGGGAAACAGGUUAAUAUUCCUGUACUUGGUGUUACUGCGAAGGGGGGACGGAGAAGGCUAUGUUGGCCGGGCGACGGUUGUCCCGGUUUAAGCGUGUAGGCUGGUUUUCCAGGCAAAUCCGGAAAAUCAAGGCUGAGGCGUGAUGACGAGGCACUACGGUGCUGAAGCGACAAAUGCCCUGCUUCCAGGAAAAGCCUCUAAGCAUCAGGUAACAUCAAAUCGUACCCCAAACCGACACAGGUGGUCAGGUAGAGAAUACCAAGGCGCUUGAGAGAACUCGGGUGAAGGAACUAGGCAAAAUGGUGCCGUAACUUCGGGAGAAGGCACGCUGAUAUGUAGGUGAAGCGACUUGCUCGUGGAGCUGAAAUCAGUCGAAGAUACCAGCUGGCUGCAACUGUUUAUUAAAAACACAGCACUGUGCAAACACGAAAGUGGACGUAUACGGUGUGACGCCUGCCCGGUGCCGGAAGGUUAAUUGAUGGGGUUAGCGGUAACGCGAAGCUCUUGAUCGAAGCCCCGGUAAACGGCGGCCGUAACUAUAACGGUCCUAAGGUAGCGAAAUUCCUUGUCGGGUAAGUUCCGACCUGCACGAAUGGCGUAAUGAUGGCCAGGCUGUCUCCACCCGAGACUCAGUGAAAUUGAACUCGCUGUGAAGAUGCAGUGUACCCGCGGCAAGACGGAAAGACCCCGUGAACCUUUACUAUAGCUUGACACUGAACAUUAAGCCUUGAUGUGUAGGAUAGGUGGGAGGCUUUGAAGUGUGGACGCCAGUCUGCAUGGAGCCGACCUUGAAAUACCACCCUUUAAUGUUUGAUGUUCUAACGUGGGCCCCUUACCGGGGUUGCGGACAGUGUCUGGUGGGUAGUUUGACUGGGGCGGUCUCCUCCUAAAGAGUAACGGAGGAGCACGAAGGUUGGCUAAUCCUGGUCGGACAUCAGGAGGUUAGUGCAAUGGCAUAAGCCAGCUUGACUGCGAGCGUGACGGCGCGAGCAGGUGCGAAAGCAGGUCAUAGUGAUCCGGUGGUUCUGAAUGGAAGGGCCAUCGCUCAACGGAUAAAAGGUACUCCGGGGAUAACAGGCUGAUACCGCCCAAGAGUUCAUAUCGACGGCGGUGUUUGGCACCUCGAUGUCGGCUCAUCACAUCCUGGGGCUGAAGUAGGUCCCAAGGGUAUGGCUGUUCGCCAUUUAAAGUGGUACGCGAGCUGGGUUUAGAACGUCGUGAGACAGUUCGGUCCCUAUCUGCCGUGGGCGCUGGAGAACUGAGGGGGGCUGCUCCUAGUACGAGAGGACCGGAGUGGACGCAUCACUGGUGUUCGGGUUGUCAUGCCAAUGGCACUGCCCGGUAGCUAAAUGCGGAAGAGAUAAGUGCUGAAAGCAUCUAAGCACGAAACUUGCCCCGAGAUGAGUUCUCCCUGACUCCUUGAGAGUCCUGAAGGAACGUUGAAGACGACGACGUUGAUAGGCCGGGUGUGUAAGCGCAGCGAUGCGUUGAGCUAACCGGUACUAAUGAACCGUGAGGCUUAACCUU